rnacentral:rRNA from 1 species
AACGAACGCUGGCGGCAGGCUUAACACAUGCAAGUCGAACGCCCCGCAAGGGGAGUGGCAGACGGGUGAGUAACGCGUGGGAAUCUACCCAACUCUACGGAAUAACUCAGGGAAACUUGUGCUAAUACCGUAUACGCCCUUCGGGGGAAAGAUUUAUCGGAGUUGGAUGAGCCCGCGUUGGAUUAGCUAGUUGGUGGGGUAAAGGCCUACCAACGCGACGAUCCAUAGCUGGUCUGAGAGGAUGAUCAGCCACAUUGGGACUGAGACACGGCCCAAACUCCUACGGGAGGCAGCAGUGGGGAAUAUUGGACAAUGGGCGCAAGCUUGAUCCAGCCAUGCCGCGUGAGUGAUGAAGGCCCUAGGGUUGUAAAGCUCUUUCACCGGUGAAGAUAAUGACGGUAACCGGAGGAGAAGCCCCGGCUGACUUCGUGCCAGCCGCCGCCGUAA